UACGUAGGGGGCUAGCGUUGUCCGGAUUUAUUGGGCGUAAAGAGCUUGUAGGCGGUCUGUCGCGUCUGCUGUGAAAAUCCGGGGCUCAACCCCGGACUUGCAGUGGGUACGGGCAGACUAGAGUGUGGUAGGGGAGACUGGAAUUCCUGGUGUAGCGGUGAAAUGCGCAGAUAUCAGGAGGAACACCGAUGGCGAAGGCAGGUCUCUGGGCCACUACUGACGCUGAGAAGCGAAAGCAUGGGGAGCGAACAGG
rnacentral:rRNA from 1 species